UUCUGCUCCCUGCCCUGUAG
rnacentral:miRNA from 1 species